rnacentral:rRNA from 1 species
UACGGGGGGAGCAAGCGUUGUUCGGAUUUACUGGGCGUAAAGGGCGCGUAGGCGGUCAGCACAAGUCAGUUGUGAAAUCUCCGGGCUUAACUCGGAAAGGUCAACUGAUACUGUGCGACUAGAGUGCAGAAGGGGCAACUGGAAUUCUUGGUGUAGCGGUGAAAUGCGUAGAUAUCAGGAAGAACACCUAUGGCGAAGGCAGCUCUCUGGGACGGUACUGACGCUGAGACGCGAAAGCGUGGGGAGCGAACAGG